rnacentral:rRNA from 1 species
CAGGAUGAACGCUAGCGGCGCGCUUAUGCAUGUAAGUCGAGCGAUGAGGCCCUCUUCGGGGGGUCAUCAGCGGCAGACGGGUGAGUAGCACGUAGGUGAUCUACCCCAGAGACGGGGAUAACGGACGGAAACGUCCGCUAAUACCGGAUGACCUUGUCAGGUCAAAGCGACAAGGAAAGGCUCCGGCGCUCUGGGAGGAGCCUGCGGCCCAUCAGUUAGUUGGCGGGGUAAAGGCCCACCAAUGCGAAGACGGGUAGGGGGUGUGAGAGCAUGGCCCCCCACAAUGGGACUGAAACACGGCCCAUACUCCUACGGGAGGCAGCAGCAGGGAAUAUUGCACAAUGGACGGAAGUCUGAUGCAGCGACGCCGCGUGGAUGAUGAAGGCCCUCGGGUUGUAAAAUCCUUUACAAGGGGACGAGGAAGGACGGUACCCUUGGAACAAGUGUCGGCUAACUACGUGCCAGCAGCUGCGGUAAGACGUAGGACACAAGCGUUAUCCGGAUUUACUGGGCGUAAAGCGUCUGCAGGCGGACAGGUAAGUUGGGCGUGAAAGCUCCGGGCUCAACCCGGAGAGGUCGUUCAAUACUGCGUGUCUAGAGGGUGUCAGAGGGGAGUGGAAUUUCCGGAGUAGCGGUAAAAUGCGCAGAGAUCGGAAAGAACACCAAUGGCGAAGGCAGCUCCCUGGGGCAUACCUGACGCUAAGAGACGAAAGCUUGGGGAGCGAACCAGGAUUAGAGACCCUGGUAGUCCUAGCCCUAAACGAUGGAUGCUGGAUGUGGGGCCAUAGCGCUCCGUGUCGAAGCGAACGCGUUAAGCAUCCCGCCUGGGGACUACGGCCGCAAGGUUAAAACUCAAACGAAUUGACGGGACCCCGCACAAGCAGCGGAGCGUGUGGUUUAAUUCGAUGCUACACGAAGAACCUUACCUGGGUUUGACAUCUAGGUGGUAGCGAAGUGAAAGCGGAGCGACCCUUCGGGGAGCCCUAGACAGGUGCUGCAUGGCUGUCGUCAGCUCG